AUGCUGAGUGUGCUGGCUCUUUUCUCUCAUUUAUCCCAGGGAAGCUUGUUUAAAUGUCCCUUGCAUACUGUAAUUGAAUCCGCUGUGGGAACUCAAGCUUGUACCAUCUUUCUCUGGGCCUCUGGAACUUCCUGGGGGUGAAAAAUCUUCAUUUAAUGAUGAAUUCUGCAGCCUGAAGCCUCGUGUGAGAGACUACCCAAGGAGUAAGACAGGAAAUGUGCCACUAUGUUCCGUUUUAAUUCAAGAGCCAACCUUCUGCAGAAGGAAAUGGUGGCAAGUUCAGUGGGAAACGACAGAGCUCUCAGUCCCAGAGUUUCAAAGAUCACAAACUCCCUCUAAGGACUUGAGAAACAAAGAAAACCCUGUGACAGAGAAUAUUCUUCCUCAUUCAUCAUUUGAAAUCCUGCCUCUAAAAGUGUUAAGAACAAGUUAUUUUCAAUAUGAGUUAGCCCCAGGGGAUUUGAUAAAAGGCACUUUUCUUUUCCAGCUGGCUAAUCAAAAAAGUGGGCUGCAGAAGACUUUAGUGACUUGGAAGGCAGUUCUGAGACUCCCCCAGACUCAGCAAACUUUCCUGAUCCAAGGAACCAAAAAACAAAGAUGUGUCACAGGCCUGACUGAAUAUGGGAGCUGA
rnacentral:lncRNA from 1 species